AGCUUUGCGCAGUGGUGAUAUUGUAACCAGUGAGGUUCAUCCGAGAUGCGAUUAUUGCUAGUUGAAAUAAUAUUAAAAUAUUUUUUUCUACAUAGUAUUCCUAUAGUAUAUUUCUAAAU